CAAUGGCUGUUCCAGCUCGUGUUGUGAAAUGUUGGGUUAAGUCCCGCAACGAGCGCAACCCUUAUCCUUUGUUGCCAGCGGUUCGGCCGGGAACUCAAAGGAGACUGCCAGUGAUAAACUGGAGGAAGGUGGGGAUGACGUCAAGUCAUCAUGGCCCUUACGAGUAGGGCUACACACGUGCUACAAUGGCAUAUACAAAGAGAAGCGACCUCGCGAGAGCAAGCGGACCUCAUAAAGUAUGUCGUAGUCCGGAUUGGAGUCUGCAACUCGACUCCAUGAAGUCGGAAUCGCUAGUAAUCGUAGAUCAGAAUGCUACGGUGAAUACGUUCCCGGGCCUUGUACACACCGCCCGUCACACCAUGGGAGUGGGUUGCAAAAGAAGUAGGUAGCUUAACCUUCGGGAGGGCGCUUACCA
rnacentral:rRNA from 1 species